rnacentral:rRNA from 1 species
GAUGAACGCUGGCGGCGUGCCUAAUACAUGCAAGUCGAACGAAACUUCUUUAUCACCGAGUGCUUGCACUCACCGAUAAAGAGUUGAGUGGCGAACGGGUGAGUAACACGUGGGCAACCUGCCCAAAAGAGGGGGAUAACACUUGGAGACAGGUGCUAAUACCGCAUAACCAUAGUUACCGCAUGGUAACUAUGUAAAAGGUGGCUAUACUACCGCUUUUGGAUGGGCCCGCGGCGCAUUAGCUAGUUGGUAGGGUAAAGGCUUACCAAGGCAAUGAUGCGUAGCCGAAUUGAGAGGUUGAUCGGCCACAUUGGGACUGAGACACGGCCCAAACUCCUACGGGAGGCAGCAGUAGGGAAUCUUCCACAAUGGGCGAAAGCCUGAUGGAGCAACGCCGCGUGGGUGAAGAAGGUCUUCGGAUCGUAAAACCCUGUUGUUAGAGAAGAAAGUGCGUGAGAGUAACUGUUCACGUUUCGACGGUAUCUAACCGGAAAGCCACGGCUAACUACGUG